rnacentral:rRNA from 1 species
CACGCAGUAAACGAUGAUUACUCGCUGUUUGCGAUAUACCGUAAGCGGCCAAGCGAAAGCAUUAAGUAAUCCACCUGGGGAGUACGUUCGCAAGAAUGAAACUCAAAGGAAUUGACGGGGGCCCGCACAAGCGGAGGAACAUGUGGUUUAAUUCGAUGAUACGCGAGGAACCUUACCCGGGCUUGAAAUGCAUCUGACCGUUCCCGAAACGGAACUUCUCUUCGGAGCAGAUGUGUAGGUGC